rnacentral:rRNA from 1 species
GACGAACGCUGGCGGCGUGCUUAACACAUGCAAGUCGAACGGUAAGGCCCUUCGGGGUACACGAGUGGCGAACGGGUGAGUAACACGUGGGUGAUCUGCCCUGCACUUCGGGAUAAGCCUGGGAAACUGGGUCUAAUACCGGAUAGGACCACUGCCGGCAUGGGCGGUGGUGGAAAGCUUUUGCGGUGUGGGAUGGGCCCGCGGCCUAUCAGCUUGUUGGUGGGGUGAUGGCCUACCAAGGCGACGACGGGUAGCCGGCCUGAGAGGGUGACCGGCCACACUGGGACUGAGAUACGGCCCAGACUCCUACGGGAGGCAGCAGUGGGGAAUAUUGCACAAUGGGCGCAAGCCUGAUGCAGCGACGCCGCGUGAGGGAUGACGGCCUUCGGGUUGUAAACCUCUUUCAGCACCGACGAAGCGCAAGUGACGGUAGGUGCAGAAGAAGGACCGGCCAACUACGUGCCAGCAGCCGCGGUAA